rnacentral:rRNA from 1 species
AGUGAACGCUGGCGGUAGGCCUAACACAUGCAAGUCGAACGGCAGCACAGUAAGAGCUUGCUCUUACGGGUGGCGAGUGGCGGACGGGUGAGGAAUACAUCGGAAUCUACUUUUUCGUGGGGGAUAACGUAGGGAAACUUACGCUAAUACCGCAUACGACCUACGGGUGAAAGCAGGGGAUCUUCGGACCUUGCGCGAUUGAAUGAGCCGAUGUCGGAUUAGCUAGUUGGCGGGGUAAAGGCCCACCAAGGCGACGAUCCGUAGCUGGUCUGAGAGGAUGAUCAGCCACACUGGAACUAAGACACGGUCCAGACUCCGACGGGAGGCAGCAGUGGGUAAUAUUGGACAAUGGGCGCAAGCCUGAUCCAGCCAUACCGCGUGGGUGAAGAAGGCCUGCGGGUUGUAAAGCCCUUUUGUUGGGAAAGAAAAGCAGCAGGUUAAUACCCCGCUGUUCUGACGGUACCCAAAGAAUAAGCACCGGCUAACUUCGU